AACGAACGCUGGCGGCAUGCCUAACACAUGCAAGUCGAACGAAGGCUUCGGCCUUAGUGGCGCACGGGUGAGUAACGCGUGGGAAACUGCCUAUUGGUGGGGAAUAACGACGGGAAACUGUCGCUAAUACCGCAUAAGCCCUUCGGGGGAAAGAUUUCUCGCCGAUAGAUGUGCCCGCGUCCGAUUAGCUAGUUGGUGAGGUAAUGGCUCACCAAGGCGACGAUCGGUACCUGGUCUGAGAGGAUGAUCAGCCACACUGGGACUGAGACACGGCCCAGACUCCUACGGGAGGCAGCAGUGGGGAAUAUUGGACAAUGGGCGAAAGCCUGAUCCAGCAAUGCCGCGUGAGUGAUGAAGGCCUUAGGGUUGUAAAGCUCUUUCGGGUGGGACGAUGAUGACGGUACCACCUGAAGAAGCCCCGGCUGACUUCGUGCCAGCCGCCGCAGUAA
rnacentral:rRNA from 1 species